rnacentral:lncRNA from 1 species
CAGCUUUUGACUAUAGACUCAUCACGAUGACCAUCUUUUUUCGAACUGACAUGAAACAUCAUACUCCUAUGGGUGAUGAAGGAAUAUAUUCUGGCGAAGAAAGCCUUAUAGGUAAACUAGGGGAGGUAGCCCGUGCUGCGCAAGGGCCCAAUGAUCAAAGAUUUUGAAGAGUUGUCAAACUGUGGGAACACUGCUUGUAGUAGAAUAAGUAUUGUCUAGAAAUGUUGGAGUGGUGGCGAGAUAUUGUAUGUUCUUGAGCAAUCCUAUGAACAAAAUAAGAGUUUUUCCUGAACAUUUUUCCAAGGAGUAAACAACAGAACUUAUGAUAGGUGCUGAGGUGAUGGAGGACUUCGGUCUUAAUUGCUGAAUGCGAAGAAGGCGGAUUGCUAACCUCAGAGCAUUUAUACGUACAGAGCUGCAGCUCCCCAAAUGAGCGACUUGUUUGAAAAUACUCAGCUACAUCAGCAGGACAACCCGAGCGUCACAAAAUUGACUAUUAUCUAUCCCACAAUUUAUCCUCGAAAUCUUCUUGCAUGCUCUGGAUCAAAUUCCGCAUCACUAUGGCCUCAACUGUCAAAAAAAUAUAUAUAUUAAAACAGCAAUCAAGAUUUGAUCUUAGGAACAACUGAAAUGCAUACACUCAUUGGGUUGAAUUAUGUCCAUACCAACUUAACAUAGCAUAUAUCAAGUCGAACUGAAGAAUAUGAAGUAGAAAACUGAACAUCUAACAUUUUACAUUCACUAACAAGCAUCAAAUCUCAGACCCCCCCAGUAAUUUACACUCUUAAGCAAACAAAAUCAGAAGAGUAUCAACAAAAGUUGGUACAAACAGGAAAUGGUAUAAAGUUUCUCCAUCAACGGUAGUGAAUCUACUUGUGCCAUCUCUAAGCAUAUGUUGAACAAGUGUUGUUCUUCUUCGAUGUGCAAUGUAUACACUGUGCACAGUCGGGAGACCAUAUUUGUUCACCGUCAAAGUUUAAUGUCAAAAUUAUAAUUUGAUGUCAAGUUUAGGAUCAUUUUUAUGUAUUAACUCUUUAAUUAAAGAAAAAACUAAUUAUCACAAUUUUAUUUAAUUUGAAAAUACUAAAAUCAUAAUUAAAUAAAUAUUUUGUAUAGUGUACAACAACAAUAUAAUGAGUAUCACUUGUUUCUGUAAUAGGUCUGGACUACCGAAUUGAAUUUCAUUGACCUCAGAACCAUGAAUUCCUGACAUCCUCGACCAAUCAUACGAGGUCAAAUCACACAUAUAAAAUCACAAUUAAAUUUAAAUUUUUUAUCAUAAAAUAUAUUGAGAUUUCAUUUUUAAAAAAAAAAUCUUCUCAACAUGAUAGUUCAUUGUAAACUUCAAAAACAUCCUAAAAUUUUGAAAAAUAUGUCUCAAAUUAUAAAUAAAUUUAUCUUUUAAUUCAUAUAGAUACUAUCAAGAUUGUAAACAUCAAUAACAUAUUAAAAUUUUAAAAAACUUAUCUCAUAUCACAAAUAAAUUAAUAUUUAAGAAUAGAUACUACUAAGAUUGUACAAGAAAAUACUGAAAUUUUUGAAAACUUAUCUCAAAUCACAAGCAAAUUCGUUUUAAAAAAUAAAAGACAACUAAGGUUAAACAAAAAAAUUGACUUUUUGAUUUAUAUAGAUAUUAUCAAAAUUGUAAAUCAAGAACAUAUUAAGAUUUUAGAAACUUACCUCAAAUCACCAUUAAAUUUAUCUCUUCAAUCAUGAGAUUUAUGAAGAAUUUUUUAAAGCAAAAAACUUCUCAAUUAAUUUAUUUUCAGCUUUUGACUAUAGACUCAUCACGAUGACCAUCUUUUUUCGAACUGACAUGAAACAUCAUACUCCUAUGGGUGAUGAAGGAAUAUAUUCUGGCGAAGAAAGCCUUAUAGGUAAACUAGGGGAGGUAGCCCGUGCUGCGCAAGGGCCCAAUGAUCAAAGAUUUUGAAGAGUUGUCAAACUGUGGGAACACUGCUUGUAGUAGAAUAAGUAUUGUCUAGAAAUGUUGGAGUGGUGGCGAGAUAUUGUAUGUUCUUGAGCAAUCCUAUGAACAAAAUAAGAGUUUUUCCUGAACAUUUUUCCAAGGAGUAAACAACAGAACUUAUGAUAGGUGCUGAGGUGAUGGAGGACUUCGGUCUUAAUUGCUGAAUGCGAAGAAGGCGGAUUGCUAACCUCAGAGCAUUUAUACGUACAGAGCUGCAGCUCCCCAAAUGAGCGACUUGUUUGAAAAUACUCAGCUACAUCAGCAGGACAACCCG